GCUACCCGCCAGAGAACUACUAGCAAAAGCUUAAAACUCAAAGGACUUGACGGUGCUUCACAUCCCCCUAGAGGAGCCUGUCCCAUAAUCGAUAAACCCCGAUAAACCUCACCCCCACUUGCUAAUUCAGCCUAUAUACCGCCAUCUUCAGCCAACCCUUAAAAGGUGCAAAAGUAAGCUCAAUGAUAGCCAUAAAAAAGUUAGGUCAAGGUGUAGCCCAUGUGGAGGUCUAAGAUGGGCUACAUUUUCUCUUAGAGAACAAUCAACCAACGGACGUCACUAUGAAACAAGUGACCAAAGGAGGAUUUAGCAGUAAAUUAAGAA
rnacentral:rRNA from 1 species